rnacentral:rRNA from 1 species
UACCAGCACCCCGAGUGGUCGGGACGAUUAUUGGGCCUAAAGCAUCCGUAGCCGGUUCUACAAGUCUUCCGUUAAAUCCACCUGCUUAACAGAUGGGCUGCGGAGGAUACUAUAGAGCUAGGAGGCGGGAGAGGCAAGCGGUACUUAGUGGGUAGGGGUAAAAUCCGUUGAUCCAUUGAAGACCACCAGUCGGCGAAGGCGGCUUGCCAGAACGCACUCGACGGUGAGGGAUGGAAAGCUGGGG